rnacentral:rRNA from 1 species
GUGUCAGCAGCCGCGGUAAUACGAAGGGGGCUAGCGUUGCUCGGAAUUACUGGGCGUAAAGCGCACGUAGGCGGGUUCUUAAGUCGGUGGUGAAAUCCUGGAGCUCAACUCCAGAACUGCCUUCGAUACUGGGAAUCUUGAGUCCGGGAGAGGUGAGUGGAACUGCGAGUGUAGAGGUGAAAUUCGUAGAUAUUCGCAAGAACACCAGUGGCGAAGGCGGCUCACUGGCCCGGUACUGACGCUGAGGUGCGAAAGCGUGGGGAGCAAACAGGAUUAGAUACCCGAGUAGUCC